rnacentral:rRNA from 1 species
CCGACGGUGAGGGAUGAAGGCUGGGGGCGCAAACCGGAUUAGAUACCCGGGUAGUCCCAGCAGUAAACGAUGCCAGCUAUGUGUUGCUGGAACCAUGGGUUCCAGCAGUGCCGAAGGGAAGCCGUGAAGCUGGCCACCUGGGAAGUACGGUCGCAAGGCUGAAACUUAAAGGAAUUGGCGGGGGAGUACCACAACCGGUGGAGCCUGCGGUUUAAUUGGAUACAACGCCGGGAAUCUUACCGGAGGGGACAGCAGUAUGAAGGCCAGGCUAAAGACCUUGCCAGAUCAGCUGAGAGGAGGUGCAUGGCCGUCGCCAGUUCGUACCGUGAGGCAUCCUGUUUAGUCAGGCAACGAUCGAGACCCGCAGUCUUAUUUGCCAGCAUGCCCUUUGGGGUGUAUGGGUACAAUAAGACGACCGCCAGCGCUAAGCUGGAGGAAGGAGCGGGCUACGGUAGGUCAGCAUGCCCCGAAUCCUCCGGGAUACACGCGGGCUACAAUGGUCAGGACAAAAGGUACCGACCUCGAAAGAGUGAGGUAAUCCAGAAACCUGAUC